rnacentral:rRNA from 1 species
UACGUAGGGUGCGAGCGUUAAUCGGAAUUACUGGGCGUAAAGGGUGCGCAGGCGGUCUCGUAAGCUGGGUGUGAAAGCCCCGGGCUUAACCUGGGAAUGGCAUUCAGGACUGCGAGGCUUUGAGUGCGGCAGAGGGAGGUGGAAUUCCACGUGUAGCAGUGAAAUGCGUAGAGAUGUGGAGGAACACCGAUGGCGAAGGCAGCCUCCUGGGCCAGCACUGACGCUCAUGCACGAAAGCGUGGGGAGC